AAACGGAUUAGAUACCCGUGUAGUCCUAGCAGUAAACACUGCACACUAAACAUCAGUGCCUCCUCGAGAGGCAUUGGUCCUGUACCGAAGGGGGAAAGUGUGCUACCUCGGAAGUAUAGUCGCAAGACCGAAACUUAAAGGAACAGGCGGGGGGGUACUACAACGAGUGACGCGUGCGGUUCAAUUAGAUUCUACACCGUGAACCUCACCAGGGUCGACAGCAGAAUGAAGGUCAGUCUGAAGGGCUUACCUGACACGCUGAGAGGAGAUGCAUGGCCGACGUCAGCCUGUGUCGUGAGAUGACUUGUUAAAUCAAGUAACAGGCGAGACCCGUGUGUAUGUUUGCAUUUGUUCAAUAUACAGACUGCUGUGGUAACACAGAGGAAGGCGCGGGCUACGUUAGGUGAGUACGUCCCAAAUACCCUGGGCUACACGCGCGCGGCAAUGAUACAUACAAAGGGCUGCAACGCCGAAAGGCGAAGCUAAUCUCAUAAAGUGUAUCUUAGUUCAGAUCGAGGAUUGCAACUCAUCCUCGUGACGCUGGAAUUCGUAGUAAUCGGAUUUUAUAAGAGUCCGGUGAAUAAGUCAAUGCCCCUUGCACUCACCGCCCGUCAAACCAACCGAGUUUUGCAUUUACGAGGCCCGUUAGGGACGAAUCUUUGUAAGACAAGGUAGGUUAAGUCGUCACAAGGUAUCCGUAGGGGAACCUGCGGAUG
rnacentral:rRNA from 1 species